rnacentral:lncRNA from 1 species
AGAGGAUAAAAACCAGAAUCUAGAGAGAGCCAGCUAUGAAGUUAGGGGUACCGGACACAUGCAAAUAGAAACAAUAGAUAGCCAAACAGUGGGACCUGAUCUAUGUGGGAUGAGUUCUGGAAAGGGCAAAGCCAUGGUCCUAGGAUGAUGAGAGGAGGCAAGAUCCUGAGGGCAGGACUUCCACAACUCAGAAAGCAACUAUGAACUCCCAAAGACCUGGAGUCCAAGUUGUAUGUCCAGCUGUAAGUGCUUAUUUGAUGGUGGAGAAAAUGAAAUGGCUUCUAGCUGUCCCAGACAGAACUAAGGUGCCUUGCAACUUCCAAGAUAGCUUGGCAGGGUUGAGUGAACACCAGACUAGCUGGGAUGACCUCACUCAUGAUUACUACCAGACAUCUACACAUCAGAGGCUUCAAAGCAUUGUUGGGAAGAGAAAAAAUCUUAACCCUAGCAUUUAUACUUCCGCCGUAGCUCCCCAUCCACUUCGGAGGGGCCAUAGUGAGUGCUCAUAUUUAAGAAGCACGGUGACUAAGGACCGUAGACGUUCCUUUCCAUCGGCCCCACAUGCAACUAGCCUAGAUAAGUAUUCUCAGUCACAGACGUUCAUGGAGUGCCACAAGUCAGAAGUGGGGCCAACCCAGAAGCUGUGUAAAAAUGUGAAAGAAACUCAGGUAGCCCUGGAGCAGCUGGAGGACACUAGGCAGCUUCAGGAACCAAAGUUACUGGCUCAGGCUGAAACAUCCUUCCUAGGAUGCCUGAUAAAAAACCAUAACCGACAUAAGAAGCCAAGGAAGGGCUGUGUAGCCUCAGGAUACAUGAAGCAAAUGGGAGACCUUCAGUUCCUGGACAAAAUGGACCACAUCGACCCCGAAUAUUCUCUGCAGACACUGAUUGGGCAAAUGGAGUUAAAUGAACCUGAAGUUCUGCCGAGGGUGCCGAUGGAAGAGACAAAGCCAAAAUCAGCCCUGGAGAAGACCCAGGCCUGGGAGUUGUCAGUAGCAAAGGAGAGUGAGUCUAAGUUCAACCCUGCCAUCAACAAAGAGAACCAGAAGUUAUGGAAGAAAUUAGAACGACUUGCUCAAGAUUAUUACAGAGUGGAAGGGACAAGGAAGCAGAUGCUGAGGCAAAAGCAAGAGCUGAAGGACCAACGCUGGGACUCGGUGAUCCGCGGAACAUCAGUAAGGCUGGCAUGGCGGGAGCAUAAGCAACGAUGCCCCAAAGAACGGGAAAAGCUCAAGAGCUCAGUGAGCAGUCCCCAGCACCCUAUAAGAAUAAUUCUGAAUCAAUCCCCACAACACCAGAUGCAGUAAGAAUAACAGAAGAAAUCCAUUUAGACCCGAGUGAGCAAAACACUUUACAGCUGCCUACUGGGAACUGUGCAGCAGGCAACGAUGGGCUGGAAAACCUUGACUGGAGAAAUGGGAGCCCAUCUCUUUGAAGACAGACCUGAAAAAGACUCGGCUUUGUUGCUUCUAUCUCAAGGGCACCGCGACACUGAACUCAAGGUCUCAGAAUACCUGAGAAUGGCCUGUUAAGGUCACAUUUUGGUCUGGUUCAGAAGGAACUGGAUACCCAGUGAACUCUGGAACAGUCUCAGGUAUAACCAGCCUCAUUAUUGUGUCACUGUUCCUAAAACUGUGCAAAGGGUGUCUGAGUCACCAGGAAAAAGCCAGGGCUUUGGUGGGCUGCCCUAGGCUGGAGGGGCAGUCAGAAGCAGGAGACCUUGGGUCCUGUGGGUGUUGAAAUGUUCAUGAGACAUCAGUGAGGGGUAAAGAUGCUACAAGGCAAAUGACAAAGAUUAUGGCCCAAACAUAAAGGACACAUGCUGGCUCAGUCUGCUGAUUCAUCAGUGACUCAGCAUCUGUAAGCUGGCUGCACAGCCCAACUGUAUUUUGGAAAAGGGCAGUGAGAUAAAUUUCCAAAAAAGUCUCUGUGUUCUCUUCUGCCAUCAGCGACAGAAAGAACAAUCACCAGCAAUAACAGUUACACAGAGGCCAAACUUUCAUAUUAAUUAAAAGCCGUGUAAGAUAUAGCUCGGCCAAUUUUUCAAGCCAAAGACAAUGUGGUGCCUGACUAGCAGAUCAAAGUUCACAUCCUGGUUCUGCCAUGUGCAACAUAUGCAAUAUGGGAGGUCACAUUAUCUUUUUACUACACCUUGAGAAAGCUAGCUCUGUAUCAAUGCAGGAACGCAUGCUGGUUUCCAGGACAUAGUCGAUGUUCAAGAAAGGACAAGAGCCACCGUCGCAAGAAUAACAAAAUGUUCUUGCUGUGGAUUUCUUUCUACUGUGAUUGCUGAAAUCAAGGUGUUAGAUGUAAGCCUCCUUCCUGUUCUGGAAAGUGACUAAUUCUGUGAAGAAUGCCCAGGAAGGAAGAAAAGAUUCUUCGGGGAUAUUACAACAAAUCCAUGGUAUUUCGAUGCUAACACCCUUGAGACAAGGAGAGACAAAGGCAGAACAAAUGCACGGCCUAACAUGACCUGUUCCAGCAAAGGAGAGGGAGGAAGUCUGAGAGAACUAACUGGGUGUCAAGUGUUAAACAAAUAAUAGUAUUGGAACACACAUUUGGCUAAGCUGGAAGUUUUCACCACAGAAGAUCAAUUCAGAAGCUAUAGGUGAUAUCGUCUAUCUAUCCUUUCCAGGCAGUCUCUACAGGAAUUCCCAGGCAUAAUGUGAAUGCCCAAAGUCCACAAAGGAACAGAAUUAAGACCAAGAUUGACAAGAUGUUCUCUGGUAUAAAUACAGAUGAAGCAUUGGGUGGAAGUUCAAAUCUGCACGGAAGCAAGUAGAAUUCGGAUACGUCACAUCAGACAACCCCAGAGAACUCAGCUCCCCCAUAGACCUGAAUUAUUUGUAUACAGAUAAAAGAAAAUGCAAUCUGUCUUCCCUGCAUCAGAAAAAUCUACCUGCCUGUGGGUGGCUGCAGCCCCAAGGCUGAGAGCAUCUCCUUACCACAUCAGCAGCAGUUAAGCAGCAGCAGUAGACUGGCCAGCUGUGUGGCUUCCCAGGAUGGGCAAGCAAGAAAUCAUCCUGGUAACGGAACUUCUCUGGUCCACAUGCAAUAAAAAUGUCAUCGUCACCAAAAAAGUCCUGAAGGCACAUCACCUACAAGAGAAAAGCAUAGUUCUCAGCCAGGGGUCCACACAACAGCGAUCACAACACCACCUCCCCCCCCCCGCCAGACUUCUCCAUAAAGCCAUUUUCCUCUAAUGGAAUCAACAGGGGGAUUUCAAAGGCUCGGCUGUGCAUCUGUUAUCCAGUAAGGAACGAGUUAGUCUCAGGUCUGCAGGAAGGCAGAGAAGGCGACUGGGUGGGUAACUGUCACAUUUAUGACUGGAAACAUCAACAGGCUAUGAGGUAAGAGCUCUUUGUUUCCACAACAUUGGGCAUUCAGCUACUCGGACCCCGGAGUGCCACCCCCUCCCCCCAGCUUCUGAAUGUAAGUCCCAAAAGCAAGGAGAGCCAGUGCACGGAUUUAACUGAGGACAUGCUUCUGUUGGUAAUUAACAGCACUACAUGUUCACAACAACCACUGAGAAAAAACAGCAUAGUAUUAUAACUUGUAGGCCCAGUCCAUCUCUAGUUGAAAUAAACUGAAACCCUUAUAAGAGGAAGAGCCGGGAAA